rnacentral:rRNA from 1 species
CUCAUGGCCCUUAUGCCCAGGGCUACACACGUGCUACAAUGGCGGUACAAAGGGUAGCGAUGCCGCGAGGUGAAGCCAAUCCCAAAAAGCCGUCCACAGUUCGGAUUGGAGUCUGCAACUCGACUCCAUGAAGCCGGAAUCGCUAGUAAUCGUGGAUCAGCAUGCCACGGUGAAUUACGGUUCCCGGGCCUU